rnacentral:rRNA from 1 species
UGGGGGAUAUUGCACAAUGGGCGAAAGCCUGAUGCAGCGACGCCGCGUGGGGGAUGAAGGCCUUCGGGUUGUAAACUUCUUUUGCUCUGAACAAGGCAUGCCUUUGGGGUGUGUUGAGUGUAGGGGUUGAUUAGCGCCGGCUAACUACGUGCCAGCAGCCGCGGUAAUACGUAGGGCGCGAGCGUUGUCCGGAAUUAUUGGGCGUAAAGGGCUUGUAGGUGGCUGGUUGCGUCUGUCGUGAAAGCUCAUGGCUUAACUGUGGGUUUGCGGUGGGUACGGGCUGGCUUGAGUGCAGUAGGGGAGGCUGGAAUUCCUGGUGUAGCGGUUGAAUGCGCAGAUAUCAGGAGGAAUACCGGUGGCGAAGGCGGGUCUCUGGGCUGUUACUGACGCUGAGGAGCGAAAGCGUGGGGAGCGAACAGG